AAAACCUCUCAGUUAUUACUCUGCCUCCCUUUUCCAUUUCCAGCAAUUCUCAGCCUCUCUCCUCUUUUCUCUCUAGAAACCUUCAUUCUUAAGAUUCAAACCCGGCUUUUGACUUUGAAACUAGCAAGGGGUCUGUUGAAGCUCCAAGAAUUUAUUUGGAGUGAAGAGUCAGUGAUUCAAUUGUGUGCUAGUCGAUGAACCAAUUGGGAUGGGGUAGACACAGCAUUUUAAGAUCAGUAACUCGCUUGGCUUGCUGCCUCAUGGAGUAGCAGCUAAACUCAUACUUGGUAGAUGUGAUAAUGCCUUCCUUCAAAUCUUCCAGUGUCAUUACACUCCACAGUGGUGUCGAGUUGAGUCGUACUUGUCAUUUACUUUUUAUGUGGAUGUAUGUGAUGUAAAUAAAAGCAAAGAAUACUUAAAGUUAUUUACUCUUGAUAUGAGAUGUUUAUAUUGAGCACCAAAAAGGGGUGUAUAUGAUUUGUGAUACCUAUGAUAAUGAGGCCAUCGAUGAAUAUGGGCAUGAGGAGCGUGCUGAACUAUGAUAAUAUGAAUUUAUAAAUAUUGAUGAAUGAAUUAUAUUUGUGUUUAUGCAUGACUUGUAUUAACUGAUGUGAUUGAAUGGUGUAUACAGACACAUAUGUUGGUAAUCAUGAAUGAUACACAUAUAUGUAAAAGAUUGUUUAAGGCUUGCUUGGGUCUUGAGGGCCAUAUCCAUGUAGGCCCUUGCGCUGGUGAUGUCUCCGGAAUUGGGAUGUGACAAGAACCAAAGCAUGUGCUAGCUUCCAAUGCUAGAGAUAACACUUUUUUUUUUUUUUGCCAAUAA